CUUGGAACGUAAAUGGCUCAAUAAUAGGGGGUACUGGAAAAGGUCAAGAGAGAAGAGAGAACCAUACGUGAGAGCGAGAAAAAGAUGGCACCAAAAAACGCAAGAACCUUUUUUUUGUACCAGUAUAGCGAAUAAUGGCGAACCAUUUCCGCACUUGAUGUCGUCCACUUGGAAUCGAAACAAUCUGGAACAAUCGUGGAAUAACGGAUUGAACGUAAUGCCUUACCGAUCACUGCGACGUCUCCUGAUCUUCUUGCGCUGUGUCCUUGUUUAUUCCUCGCUGAACACGUGUACACGCCUGCAUCGCCUUUCUUCUGCACACUCGUGAUGACCAAGGUACCGUCUGGAAGCACUUUUUGUCGAAGAUCAUCUGGCAAUUCACGAUUCGCUCGUUCCCAUUUGAUUUCUUCGAUAGGGUAGCCGGCGACUGGACAUUUCAAACGAAGAGUUUCACCGGCAACAGCGGUAACUUUUGGAAUUAGUCGAAUAUAUGGAAGACCUAUGUGAAAUAAGAAAAAUAAAUUUAAAAAUAAGAAAAACAAAUAAAUAGUAAUUGAAAAUUAUGAAAUAUAAAAUAAUUAUUAAAUAUUUAGUAAUGUCAUUAAAGUAAAAUAAUUAUUAUUAUCUUCAUUAUUUAAAAUGUGUUUUAAUAAUAAAGUAAUGAAAUAUUUAUUUAUUAUAAA